rnacentral:rRNA from 1 species
UACAGAGGUCUCAAGCGUUGUUCGGAUUCAUUGGGCGUAAAGGGUGCGUAGGUGGCGCUGUAAGUCGGGUGUGAAAUUUCGGAGCUUAACUCCGAAACUGCAUUCGAUACUGCGGUGCUUGAGGACUGGAGAGGAGACUGGAAUUCAUGGUGAGCAGUGAAAUGCGUAGAGAUCAUGAGGAAGACCAGUGGCGAAGGCGGGUCUCUGGACAGUUCCUGACACUGAGGCACGAAGGCCAGGGGAGCAAACGGG